UACAGAGGGUGCAAGCGUUGUUCGGAAUUACUGGGCGUAAAGCGCGUGUAGGCGGUUUAAUAAGCCAGAUGUGAAAUCCCUCAGCUUAACUGAGGAACUGCAUCUGAUACUGUUAAACUUGAGUAUCGGAGGGGAUGGCGGAAUUCCUGGUGUAGAGGUGAAAUGCGUAGAUAUCAGGAGGAACACCUGUGGCGAAGGCGGCCAUCUGGAAGAUUACUGACGCUGAGACGCGAAAGCGUGGGGAGCAAACAGG
rnacentral:rRNA from 1 species